rnacentral:rRNA from 1 species
GUGGGUAACCUACCUAUAAGACUGGGAUAACUUCGGGAAACCGGAGCUAAUACCGGAUAACAUUUGGAACCGCAUGGUUCUAAAGUGAAAGAUGGUUUUGCUAUCACUUAUAGAUGGACCCGCGCCGUAUUAGCUAGUUGGUAAGGUAACGGCUUACCAAGGCGACGAUACGUAGCCGACCUGAGAGGGUGAUCGGCCACACUGGAACUGAGACACGGUCCAGACUCCUACGGGAGGCAGCAGUAGGGAAUCUUCCGCAAUGGGCGAAAGCCUGACGGAGCAACGCCGCGUGAGUGAUGAAGGGUUUCGGCUCGUAAAACUCUGUUAUUAGGGAAGAACAAAUGUGUAAGUAACUGUGCACGUCUUGACGGUACCUAAUCAGAAAGCCACGGCUAACUACGUGCCAGCAGCCGCGGUAAUACGUAGGUGGCAAGCGUUAUCCGGAAUUAUUGGGCGUAAAGCGCGCGUAGGCGGUUUCUUAAGUCUGAUGUGAAAGCCCACGGCUCAACCGUGGAGGGUCAUUGGAAACUGGGAAACUUGAGUGCAGAAGAGGAAAGUGGAAUUCCAUGUGUAGCGGUGAAAUGCGCAGAGAUAUGGAGGAACACCAGUGGCGAAGGCGACUUUCUGGUCUGUAACUGACGCUGAUGUGCGAAAGCGUGGGGAUCAAACAGGAUUAGAUACCCUGGUAGUCCACGCCGUAAACGAUGAGUGCUAAGUGUUAGGGGGUUUCCGCCCCUUAGUGCUGCAGCUAACGCAUUAAGCACUCCGCCUGGGGAGUACGACCGCAAGGUUGAAACUCAAAGGAAUUGACGGGGACCCGCACAAGCGGUGGAGCAUGUGGUUUAAUUCGAAGCAACGCGAAGAACCUUACCAAAUCUUGACAUCCUUUGAAAACUCUAGAGAUAGAGCCUUCCCCUUCGGGGGACAAAGUGACAGGUGGUGCAUGGUUGUCGUCAGCUCGUGUCGUGAGAUGUUGGGUUAAGUCCCGCAACGAGCGCAACCCUUAAGCUUAGUUGCCAUCAUUAAGUUGGGCACUCUAGGUUGACUGCCGGUGACAAACCGGAGGAAGGUGGGGAUGACGUCAAAUCAUCAUGCCCCUUAUGAUUUGGGCUACACACGUGCUACAAUGGACAAUACAAAGGGCAGCUAAACCGCGAGGUCAUGCAAAUCCCAUAAAGUUGUUCUCAGUUCGGAUUGUAGUCUGCAACUCGACUACAUGAAGCUGGAAUCGCUAGUAAUCGUAGAUCAGCAUGCUACGGUGAAUACGUUCCCGGGUCUUGUACACACCGCCCGUCACACCACGAGAGUUUGUAACACCCGAAGCCGGUGGAGUAACCAUUUAUGGAGCUAGCCGUC